rnacentral:rRNA from 1 species
UGCGAGUGAAGCGGGAUGAGCUCAAAUUUAAAAUCUGGCAGUGUAACGGCUGUCCGAGUUGUAAUUUAGAGAAGUGUUUUCUGUGCUAGUCCGUGUACAAGUCUCCUGGAAUGGGGCGUCAUAGAGGGUGAGAAUCCCGUCUUUGACACGGUGCAACUGGUGCUCUGUGAUACACUCUCGAAGAGUCGAGUUGUUUGGGAAUGCAGCUCAAAAUGGGUGGUGAACUCCAUCUAAAGCUAAAUAUUGGCAAGAGACCGAUAGCGAACAAGUACCGUGAGGGAAAGAUGAAAAGCACUUUGGAAAGAGAGUGAAACAGUACGUGAAAUUGCUGAAAGGGAAACGCUUGAAGUCAGUCGCAUUUGCUAGAAUUCAGCUCUCUUGUAGAGUGUACUUUCUUAGUUGAAUGGGUCAGCAUCACUUCUUGGCCCCUGGAAAAGGGCUUGAGGAAUGUGGCACUUCCUUGUGAGGUGUGUUAUAGCCUCGGGUCGUAUACAGGUGGCUAGGAGUGAGGAAUGCCUUUGUAGGAUGCUGGCAUAAUGGCUUUAAGCGACCCGUCUUGAAACACGGACCAAGGAGUCUAACAUGCAUGCAAGUGUUUGGGUGGUUAAAACUCAUGCGCGUAAUGAAAGUGAACAAUUGGGAAGGCUGUCAUGGCCUGCACCAAUGCCCGGACUUGCGAUUUAUCUACGGUUCUGCGGUCGAGCAUGUAUGUUGGGACCCGAAAGAUGGUGAACUAUGCCUGAAUAGGGUGAAGCCAGAGGAAACUCUGGUGGAGGCUCGUAGCGAUUCUGACGUGCAAAUCGAUCGUCAAAUUUGGGUAUAGGGGCGAAAGACUAAUCGAACCAUCUAGUAGCUGGUUCCUGCCGAA